CCUACGGGAGGCAGCAGUGAGGAAUAUUGGUCAAUGGACGAGAGUCUGAACCAGCCAAGUAGCGUGAAGGAUGACUGCCCUAUGGGUUGUAAACUUCUUUUAUAUGGGAAUAAAACGUUCCACGUGUGGGAUUUUGUAUGUACCAUAUGAAUAAGGAUCGGCUAACCCCGUGCCAGCAGCCGCGGUAAUACGGAGGAUCCGAGCGUUAUCCGGAUUUAUUGGGUUUAAAGGGAGCGUAGGUGGGUUGUUAAGUCAGUUGUGAAAGUUUGCGGCUCAACCGUAAAAUUGCAGUUGAAACUGGCAGUCUUGAGUACAGUAGAGGUGGGCGGAAUUCGUGGUGUAGCGGUGAAAUGCUUAGAUAUCACGAAGAACUCCGAUUGCGAAGGCAGUUCACUGGACUGCAACUGACACUGAGGCUCGAAAGUGUGGGUAUCAAACAGGAUUAGAUACCCGGGUAGUC
rnacentral:rRNA from 1 species